GCUGGAAUAGCUCAGUUGGUUAGAGCGUGUGGUUGUUAACCACAAGGUUGAAGGUUCUCAAACCCUCCUUCUAGCG